GACGAACGCUGGCGGCGUGCUUAACACAUGCAAGUCGAACGGUGAAGCGCCUUCCUUUUUGGUGGGUGUGGAUGAGUGGCGAACGGGUGAGUAACACGUGAGUAACCUGCCCCCUUCUUCUGGAUAACCGCAUGAAAGUGUGGCUAAUACGGGAUAUUCUGGGUCUGUCGCAUGAUGGGUCUGGGAAAGAUAUUGUUUCGGUGGGGGAUGGGCUCGCGGCCUAUCAGCUUGUUGGUGGGGUGAUGGCCUACCAAGGCGGUGACGGGUAGCCGGCCUGGGAGGGUGGACGGUCACACUGGGACUGAGACGCGGCCCAGACUCCUACGGGAGGCAGCAGUGGGGAAUAUUGCACAAUGGGCGCAAGCCUGAUGCAGCGACGCCGCGUGAGGGAUGGAGGCCUUCGGGUUGUGAACCUCUUUCGCCAGUGAAGCAGGCCUGCCUCGUUUGUGGGUGGGUUGACGGUAGCUGGAUAAGAAGCGCCGGCUAACUACGUG
rnacentral:rRNA from 1 species